UGCCAGCAGCCGCGGUAAUACGAAAGGGGCUAGCGUUGUUCGGAAUUACUGGGCGUAAAGCGCACGUAGGCGGCAAUGUAAGUUGGGGGUGAAAUCCCGGGGCUCAACCCCGGAACUGCCUCCAAAACUACAUAGCUAGAGGAUGUGAGAGGAUAGUGGAAUUCCGAGUGUAGAGGUGAAAUUCGUAGAUAUUCGGAAGAACACCAGUGGCGAAGGCGACUGUCUGGCACAUUUCUGACGCUGAGGUGCGAAAGCGUGGGGAGCAAACAGGAUUAGAUA
rnacentral:rRNA from 1 species